UACGAAGGGGGCUAGCGUUGCUCGGAAUCACUGGGCGUAAAGGGCGCGUAGGCGGAUCUUUAAGUCAGAGGUGAAAUCCUGGAGCUCAACUCCAGAACUGCCUUUGAUACUGAAGAUCUUGAGUUCGGGAGAGGUGAGUGGAACUGCGAGUGUAGAGGUGAAAUUCGUAGAUAUUCGCAAGAACACCAGUGGCGAAGGCGGCUCACUGGCCCGAUACUGACGCUGAGGCACGAAAGCGUGGGGAGCAAACAGG
rnacentral:rRNA from 1 species